UACGUAGGGUGCGAGCGUUAAUCGGAAUUACUGGGCGUAAAGCGUGCGUAGGCGGUUCGUUAAGUUCGUUGUGAAAGCCCCGGGCUCAACCUGGGAAUGGCAAUGGAAACUGGCGGGCUGGAGUAUGGCAGAGGGGGGUGGAAUUCCGCGUGUAGCAGGGAAAUGCGUAGAGAUGCGGAGGAACACCGAUGGCGAAGGCAGCCCCCUGGGCCAAUACUGACGCUCAGGCACGAAAGCGUGGGGAGCAAACAGG
rnacentral:rRNA from 1 species